CAGGUUUACCUGUGUGACUGCGUACCUUUUGUAUAAUGGGUCAGCGACUUAUAUUCUGUAGCAAGGUUAACCGAAUAGGGGAGCCGGAGGGAAACCGAGUCUUAAUUGGGCGUUAAGUUGCAGGGUAUAGACCCGAAACCCGGUGAUCUAGCCAUGGGCAGGUUGAAGGUUGGGUAACACUAACUGGAGGACCGAACCGACUAAUGUUGAAAAAUUAGCGGAUGACCUGUGGCUGGGGGUGAAAGGCCAAUCAAACCGGGAGAUAGCUGGUUCUCCCCGAAAGCUAUUUAGGUAGCGCCUCGUGAACUCAUCUCCGGGGGUAGAGCACUGUUUCGGCUAGGGGGCCAUCCCGGCUUACCAACCCGAUGCAAACUGCGAAUACCGGAGAAUGUUAUCACGGGAGACACACGGCGGGUGCUAACGUCCGUCGUGAAGAGGGAAACAACCCAGACCGCCAGCUAAGGUCCCAAAGUCAUGGUUAAGUGGGAAACGAUGUGGGAAGGCCCAGACAGCCAGGAUGUUGGCUUAGAAGCAGCCAUCAUUUAAAGAAAGCGUAAUAGCUCACUGGUCGAGUCGGCCUGCGCGGAAGAUGUAACGGGGCUAAACCAUGCACCGAAGCUGCGGCAGCGACACUGUGUGUUGUUGGGUAGGGGAGCGUUCUGUAAGCCUGUGAAGGUGUGUCGUGAGGCAUGCUGGAGGUAUCAGAAGUGCGAAUGCUGACAUAAGUAACGAUAAAGCGGGUGAAAAGCCCGCUCGCCGGAAGACCAAGGGUUCCUGUCCAACGUUAAUCGGGGCAGGGUGAGUCGACCCCUAAGGCGAGGCCGAAAGGCGUAGUCGAUGGGAAACGGGUUAAUAUUCCCGUACUUGGUGUUACUGCGAAGGGGGGACGGAGAAGGCUAUGUUGGCCGGGCGACGGUUGUCCCGGUUUAAGCGUGUAGGUGUGUGUUCCAGGUAAAUCCGGUUCACUUUAACACUGAGGCGUGACGACGAGGCACUACGGUGCUGAAGCAACAAAUGCCCUGCUUCCAGGAAAAGCCUCUAAGCAUCAGGUAACAUCAAAUCGUACCCCAAACCGACACAGGUGGUCAGGUAGAGAAUACCAAGGCGCUUGAGAGAACUCGGGUGAAGGAACUAGGCAAAAUGGUGCCGUAACUUCGGGAGAAGGCACGCUGACACGUAGGUGAAGUGAUUUACUCAUGGAGCUGAAGUCAGUCGAAGAUACCAGCUGGCUGCAACUGUUUAUUAAAAACACAGCACUGUGCAAACACGAAAGUGGACGUAUACGGUGUGACGCCUGCCCGGUGCCGGAAGGUUAAUUGAUGGGGUCAGCGCAAGCGAAGCUCCUGAUCGAAGCCCCGGUAAACGGCGGCCGUAACUAUAACGGUCCUAAGGUAGCGAAAUUCCUUGUCGGGUAAGUUCCGACCUGCACGAAUGGCGUAAUGAUGGCCAGGCUGUCUCCACCCGAGACUCAGUGAAAUUGAACUCGCUGUGAAGAUGCAGUGUACCCGCGGCAAGACGGAAAGACCCCGUGAACCUUUACUAUAGCUUGACACUGAACAUUGAGCCUUGAUGUGUAGGAUAGGUGGGAGGCUUUGAAGUGUGGACGCCAGUCUGCAUGGAGCCGACCUUGAAAUACCACCCUUUAAUGUUU
rnacentral:rRNA from 1 species